rfam:Triticum aestivum genome assembly, contig: Triticum_aestivum_CS42_TGACv1_scaffold_641973_T_6BL-0.212272_2BS-0.131383
CUAGUACUGCCUCGUCUGGAAAUACUUUGUCAUUAAAAUGGAUAAAGGGAAUGUAUCUAGACGUUGAUACAUUCCCUUUUAUCUAUUUUGAUGACAAAUAUUUCCGGACGGAGGGAGUACCUG